rnacentral:rRNA from 1 species
AACGUAGGAGACAAACGUUAUCCGGAGUUACUGGGCGUAAAGGGCGUGUAGGUGGUUGCGUAAGUCUGGCGUGAAAUUUUUCGGCUUAACCGGGAAAGGUCGUCGGAUACUGCGUAGCUAGAGGACGGGUAGAGGCGUGUGGAAUUCCGGGUGUAGUGGUGAAAUGCGUAGAGAUCCGGAGGAACACCAGUGGCGAAGGCGACACGCUGGGCCGUACCUGACACUGAUGCGCGACAGCAGUGGGGAGCAAACG